AUUGAACGCUGGCGGCAGGCCUAACACAUGCAAGUCGAGCGGAGCGGCGGACGGGUGAGUAAUGCCUAGGAAUCUGCCUGGUAGUGGGGGAUAACGUCCGGAAACGGGCGCUAAUACCGCAUACUAUCAGAUGAGCCUAGGUCGGAUUAGCUAGUUGGUGGGGUAAUGGCCUACCAAGGCGACGAUCCGUAACUGGUCUGAGAGGAUGAUCAGUCACAUGGGAACUGAUAAACGGGCCAGACUCCUAAGGGAGACACCAGGUGGGAAUAUUGGACAAUGGGCGAAAGGCUGAACGAGCCAUGCCGCGUGAGUGAAGAGGGUCUUCGGAUUGUAAAGCUCUUGAAGUUGGGAGGCGUUACCAACAGAAUAAGCACAGGCUAACUACGGGCCAGCAGCCGCGGUAAUUC
rnacentral:rRNA from 1 species